UACGUAGGGUGCAAGCGUUAUCCGGAAUUAUUGGGCGUAAAGAGCUCGUAGGCGGUUUGUCACGUCUGCUGUGAAAACUGGAGGCUCAACCUCCAGCCUGCAGUGGGUACGGGCAGACUAGAGUGCGGUAGGGGAGACUGGAAUUCCUGGUGUAGCGGUGAAAUGCGCAGAUAUCAGGAGGAACACCGGUGGGCGAAGGCGGGUCUCUGGGCCGUAACUGACGCUGGAG
rnacentral:rRNA from 1 species